rnacentral:rRNA from 1 species
AGAGUUUGAUCCUGGCUCAGGACGAACGCUGGCGGCGUGCUUAACACAUGCAAGUCGAACGAAAAGAGGGAAAGAGCUUGCUCUUUCCGGAAUUGAGUGGCAAACGGGUGAGUAACACGUAAACAACCUGCCUUCAGGAUGGGGACAACAGACGGAAACGACUGCUAAUACCGAAUAAGUUCCAAGAGCCGCAUGGCCCAUGGAAGAAAAGGUGGCCUCUACCUGUAAGCUAUCGCCUGAAGAGGGGUUUGCGUCUGAUUAGCUGGUUGGAGGGGUAACGGCCCACCAAGGCGACGAUCAGUAGCCGGUCUGAGAGGAUGAACGGCCACACUGGAACUGAGACACGGUCCAGACUCCUACGGGAGGCAGCAGUGGGGAAUCUUCCGCAAUGGGCGAAAGCCUGACGGAGCAACGCCGCGUGAGUGAUGACGGCCUUCGGGUUGUAAAACUCUGUGAUCCGGGACGAAAAGGCAGAGUGCGAAGAACAAACUGCAUUGACGGUACCGGAAAAGCAAGCCACGGCUAACUACGUGCCAGCAGCCGCGGUAAUACGUAGGUGGCAAGCGUUGUCCGGAAUUAUUGGGCGUAAAGCGCGCGCAGGCGGCUUCCCAAGUCCCUCUUAAAAGUGCGGGGCUUAACCCCGUGAUGGGAAGGAAACUGGGAAGCUGGAGUAUCGGAGAGGAAAGUGGAAUUCCUAGUGUAGCGGUGAAAUGCGUAGGGAUUAGGAAGAACACCGGUGGCGAAGGCGACUUUCUGGACGAAAACUGACGCUGAGCGCGAAAGCGUGGGGAGCAAACGGAUUAGAUACCCUGGUAGU